GGAGAGAUGGCUCAGGGGUUAAGAGCACUGACUGUUCUUCCAGAGGUCCUGAGUUCAAUUCCCAGCAACCACA
rnacentral:tRNA from 1 species